GGCCGGCGCAGCGACGCCGGACGUGCGCGCGCUCGCGCGUCCCUGUCUGUGGUAGGCAGCCGGGGCUGUGGCGUCUCGCCUCGCGACCACCUGCGGCGGACGGGCGCCGGGCCGGUGAGGCUGGAGCGCGGCCGGAGCUGAGAAACCGCAGCUGGGCGGCACCGGAGCGUGGGGCGGGGGCGCGGGACCGGCCUGGCGUCGCGGCGCCGCCCGCCCGAGCACCGCUGAGGAGACCCUGCCCGCCUUCGUGUCCUCCUCUGGGUGCGCGGCUGCUGCGUUUUGGGGACGGGGUCUCCGUGUCGCCCAGGCUGGAGCGCGGUGGCCCGAUCUUGGCUCACUGCAGCCUCGGCCUCCCGAGCUCACGCGAUCCUGCCGCCUCAGCCUCCCUGGUAACUGGGACCGCAGGCGCCCCGCGCCCGGCGAUUGGCGUUUGCGUUUUGCGGAGGUGGCGUCUCGCGGUGUUGCCCAGGCUCCCGGCUCCCGGGCCCACGCGCUCCUCCCUGCAGCGGGCGCCGCCCCGCCAGGCCCCCGCCGAGCCGCCCCUGCUUCCCCCGCUCCCAGAGUUGUCUGGGACGCGCGGGGCCCGCCCCGCAUUGGGUCAGGGCUGGGGGCCGGCGGGGGGCGCGGCUGUCCCGCUGGCUCCCUCUCCCCGCCUGUCAUCCUCACUGUAGACUCGGGGAGAACCGGGUCGCGGCCCAGGACCCCGGACGCGGUUCCCUCCGUGUGCCAUUUAGUCCGCACUGACACUAGCAGCUGCUCCCAAUUACCAAUGUUUAGCAUAUGCAAUAGACUUACUCCUCGAUUUAUCUAUAUUUACUGACUGUUCCACAGUUAUACCAAGAAAUGUUUACACAGAUGAUGAUAAGCAUAUGUAGAGAUGCAACGUUUUCACAGACCAGAAUAACCAGCUCCAGGCUGCAGUUCUCCACAUGAAGAUAAAGUUUGUUGGGAAACUCCUGACUGCGGCGACCUGAGCCCAGAGGAGCAGCCGGGGGCGGUGGGCAGAGCCGGGUGUGGACAAGCGGGUGGGUCCUGCACCUGGGUGGGGGAAGCAGCAGGCUCCAGGGUCAAGUUGAGGUUGUGCUAGCCCUGGCUUCCAGACCUCAGGCGGCCCACUCUGCCCUCGGCUUGUUUCCUCUCUUGUGAAGUGGGGAGUAAAAGACCAUCACAAGCCAGGGAUGAAGUGGCACAAACUGUGAUCUCAGCCACUCUGGAGGCUGGGUCGUAGGGGUGGAGGGCUCACUUGUGUCUCAGAGCUGGAGCUGUGGUGUGCGAGGCCCGCACCUGUAAAUGGCCACUGCACUCCGGCCUGGGCAACACUGAGACCCUGGCUCUGAAAAACAACAAAACUUAAAAGAUGAACACAGAUGAAGUAUGGGAGCCUGGUAUGUGGUAAGCACUCCACAGGUGUCAGCCACCAGCCCGCAGUUCAGGACAGGUCAGGGGGAGACCCGCAGUCUGCAACAGGCUGCCGGCUUCCAUCACUGCCUGAUGGAAAACAAGCCUGUCUUUGGGGCCAACAAGCUAACAAGUGAGCCCUUCACCCCAUCUGAAGGCGAAGCACCCAAAGGGGCAACCAUGGACCACUAAAUAAAAAUCAAGACUCCUGGGACGCCUUCUCCGGACACAUUCUUAGUAAAGAGAUAUGUGGAUGAGGACGUUGUGUGUAUUUCUGUGUAACAGGCCACCCCAAACCUCAGAGGGCGGAAACCUCUCUUCACUGCUCAUGACCCUGUGGGCCUGCAGCUUGAGCCAGUUCAACUGGGACAGCUUGCCUCGGCUCCAUGGGGUGUCUGCUGGACCCACUUAUGGGCAGGGGCCCCCCAGCAGAUCUGGGCCACGUGUCACCCACCCACCGCAGGCUGGUCAGGCCUCCCUCCCGUGGUGGCUGGGCUCCAUCGGCAGCAAGAGAAAGCAAAUCUCCAUGGUGCUUCCCUCCAUCUCCCCAGGAGAAGCAGGUGAGAUGGCCAGGGCCUGAGUGGAUGUGAGCGACUGUGCAGGGGACAGGCACGGGAAGCAUGGUUCAUCAGGACGGUCACUGCAACAGUCUUCCACAGGCCUUCGCUGAGAUGCAGGUUGGUGUAGGGAACACAAGGGAACUCACCAGAAUGGAGGCUGCUUAUGCAAGUUUCAGCUUGUUCUUUUUCUCCCUCCAGAGCAUAGGAGAGCAGAUGGCGGCCAAGGCCGGGACCCUCUGCUGCUCCCACGGGCCUCUCAGGCAGCUCUGCAGGACCAGCCAGCAGCCUCUGAUUCUCCCUUCCUAUUCCAUGGCCUCAGAUGCCAUCCUUUCCACAGAGAUAGUUUGUAUCGUGACACUCUCCCUGACUUGGAAGAAUGGCACUCAGAACAUUCCCCUUGGUGCUGAUGUCGGGGUGAAAGCAGUUUCCAGUCGCCUGGGGCCAGGACACGGCAUUCCCAGCUGUUGUGGAGCAUGAAGCACCAGGAUGCCCAUUUGGGUGCCUGUUGAGAUCAGGCUCUUUGAGAAGGAAUCCUGUGGUCGCCUGAGGAGGCCCGAAGAAAUUUCGAGGACAUCUCAGCCAUCCAUCCCCUGUUCACUGUGGAGGUCGAACACCAAGGUUCCUGGAGGGGGACCCUGGGUCUCCACAGAAGUGCUGGCAACCAUCUACUUCCCGGCCUUCCAUGCCUGCCCCACCUCCGUUCUGUUGUUUACCGUCUCCUUUGUGGGAAUUAUGGAAUAAACGAUCACUUUGGUGUCCUGGAAAAUAAACCUGAUGCUGGAGGGCUUGAGUGUAGGAAUCCCGCUGGCCUUCCUAUGUCUGCCCCAUGAGUUAGGCUUUGCAUAAGCAUGUGAGACAUCAACUGCUAUGAAAUGUGGUCUACACAGCACCAAAAAAUCCAUUUCACCACAUUCUCCCUUCAGUGCAGUUAAAUGGCAUGACCUUGUGACUGCCCCCCACGAGAAGAAUUAAAAAUUACACUGGCCCUGCCAAAGCCUACAGGACACAGUGGCACAAAAUGAUUUCCAUGAUCUUAGGAUAUAGACCCAGGCCGACUCGACAGAUUAAGUGGAUUUCAAACUGUGGUCUCAAGCCUUCUGGGAACUGCCAGAAAGGAGGGGAAGGUGCCGAGUGGCCCAGCUGCCCAGCCUGUUCACACACUGGGCUUUCCAAAAGGAGGAGAAGGCGCCAGCCUCAGAGUGGCCCAGCUGCCCAGCCUCUUCACACACUGGGCUUUCAGUUGAAGAGAGUGUUCAAAGCUUACACAUGUAAAUGCCACUGAUCUGUAAACCCCCUUCCUGUCAUGCCCAGGGACUGGCAGACUGUGGCUAGAAGGGUGGGACCAGAGGGGUGGGUCACGUGACCUGCGCACGGGUGUGCUGGCCUCCCUGGGCCUCGGUGGCCAGGACAGCCUCCCUUUCCCUUUCCAGCCACACAGGGCAAUCCGUGUGGAUUUCUGUCUCCCCAGUUACAGAGUGUGCUGCCAACCUGCUGUGCUGAGACUGGCCUGGUCUUGGUCCUGGUGUCCUAGGGCUGAUGACUGACCACAGCCUUUGUGCUUUUGAAGCCCAUUUGACUAUAGUCCUUGUGUACAACUGAAAAUGAAGCUUUAAACAAUCUUGCUUUGUUUUAUUUAAUUCUGCCCAAUCUAUUUGAGAAAGGACACUCACAGGUACUUUUUCGAUUGUAGCCUAAAGUGGAUUAUUGAUUUCCUUGUUUCUCAAACAUCAGGAGGAGCAUAAAACUGCUAAUAAGAGGUGACCAAUAUUUGGUGAUACCAUGAUUUGAGACAUACUAAUUUUGCCCUAUAUUUUAAAAAUAAAAUAAAAAGACAUGAGACUGGAGUAGCAAAACCAGAUGGUGCCAACCCAUUCGGUCAACAGCUGCCAUGGUGGUGGAAACUGUGUGUGAGGCCCGACCAGCUCACAAUGUGCCACCGUCUCUGGGACAACUCCCAGCUCCCACAGUGACGCAGCAGGAGCAGUCUGUCUGUGCUCUGUGACAGGCACACAGCCCCCCACCCCACCCCCUGACUCCAGGACCUCAAGCGGAUUCUGACUCCCAGGAUGGCCCUGGGCACUUAGAACUGGCAUUGAGACAAUUGUGAGUCUCUCUUUGUGCCUAGGCCUGAAAGGUUUAAAUCCAGCACAGUUAGGAUGGUCUCCAUCACUUGCCAGCCUAACAAGAGAAAACGGUUAGACACACAGGGGCAGGCGAGAGAGGACAAUCUGAUGGCCUUUCAGUGCCGUAGGCAGUGUCCUGUGCAUGGGUCAACAUGUGGCCAGGAAGAUGUCUUUGCUUCAGGGCAUUCAUGUUCUAGUGGGGAGAUGGCGUCACGGAGCAGCGCAGUGUGAUAACUGGGCAUUCACGUUCUAAUGGGGAGAUGGCAUCAUGGAGCAGCACAGUGUGAUAACUGGGCAUUCGUGUUCUAGUGGGGAGAUGGCGUCACGGAGCAGCGCAGUGUGAUAACUGGGCAUUCGUGUUCUAGUGGGGAGAUGGCGUCAGGGAGCAGCGCAGUGUGAUAACUGGGCAUUCGUGUUCUAGUGGGGAGAUGGCAUCAGGGAGCAGCGCAGUGUAUUAAUUGGGACACCAUCCAGGGCAGGAAGAGAGGUGUGACAGUCAGUGCGGACCUAGCUGUGCCAUGCAGCAGCGGCCAAGUAGUUUGGCCUGUCUGAGCCUGUUCUACAUCCAGAAGAGGGAGACAAUGGGUGGAAAGGCUCCAGUGGUGACGUACAAAUGCAAGCUCCUAAUGGAGAGGCAUGUGAAUGGUUGCAGGAGUCCAGGGCGCUGCAGCCGCACCGCUCAGGUGUGUCGGAGCAAGCUGCAGGAAGCUGCGCUGAGCCUUGGGGAUGAGAAGGCACUGGCGGCAGGAGUGCCCUUGGCAGAGGAAAAAGCACUUCCAUGGCACGUGAAGUUGGAGAAGAGAGGAGGUUUCUGCCACCAUUGGUCAGAAGAGUCCUCCUGAUUGGGCCACUUUGCACUCUGUAGAGACCAGGCAAAGGGAAUGUGCUGCGUGGUUAAAUCAGAGGUGGGCAGGCUGAGCCUGGGCCCAAUGGUGUCCAGUCAGCAGUUAAGAAUGAAUAUUAAACAUGUAAAGUGUUGGGGUGGGUGGGGGGUUAUGAAGAAUAGAUGCAGUGGGCUUCUGUGGCUGGCAGAGCCAUAGAUCUUUGCCAUCUGGCCCUUUACAGAGAAAGGCAAUCCCUGGUUUAGCCAAAUAGGGCCUAGCUCUGGAACUGGGAGUUAGAGCAGCUGCCAUCAAAGUGCAUAGACUGUCUGGAGGUGGGAGAAACAACCCAAAUCAGCACCACGGGUGAAGGGAUGGGGGCUCUGACGUACUCGGUGGUGUCUGUCUAGAGCUCAGGCAUGCCUGCAGCUUCCGUGCAGAAGACUUCUAUCAGGUGUUGACACUGGAAUUGGAAAGAGUUAAGAGGCUUUUGGAAUCAGACUCAACAGGACUUAGUGAUGGAGUCACUAGAGGGGUCUGGGGAGGGGAAGCAUCAGGGCUUACCCAGGAUCCUGGCUUGCACAUAUCGGUGGGUGAUGGUGCUCUAGGAUGACACGGGGGAUAGGGAGAAGAAACCAGGCAUUCCUUUUGGGCGCGUUAAGUUUGCAAUGCCUACAGGAUGUCUGAGUGGCUGUGUUAGGAAGACAGCUGCGUACGAAAGACUGAUGUCCGGAGAGGAGAGCCGUGCUGGAGAUGGACACUUGAAACCCUUGAAAAUGGAAGACGUCACCGAUCCCUUAAAGAGAGGGUGGAGAAAGGAAAGAAGGGAACCUGGCACCAGACCUGAAGAGCUUCAGCCUGGCAUUAGAGUCAUUUUAUCCUUUAUUGCUUUCUUCUUGGCUUACCUCACCGGUUGCUGUUGAAAAGAAGUGUUAGUGUCUGUCUCUGUCUGUGCCCUUCCCUCCGUCCCCCUUCCCUGCCCUCUCGAUCUGUCACAGUGGUUUUCACGUGCAGUUUACUGUCGUGCUCCCUUGAGCACGGGAAUACCUGCAAGACAAGGAGGGGUCUCCAGAGGCAGAGGCGUCAGGGUCAGAACCGUGGAGUGGCCUUGGCGCUGCAAAGGAAGGAUGUCAACCACAGGUGUCUUCGUUUUGGAAACUGGAGACAUCUUCCCGGGGUCAAAGGCAAGUGUGCAUGUCGUUUUGUUCGGUGUUGCCAGCGCCCCUCUGAGAGGGCGGUACCCAGUGGCGUCCCAGUCAGGGACUGGGACCUGCUUCCCACAGCCCGGCAGAUGGAUGCGCGGUCUCAUGGAUGAGAGGCAGCACCUGGCUGUGGUUGAAGUUUGCGUUCUCUAAGGAUGAGUGAGUGGACAGGUUCAAAGUAUUUAAGGCUCAUUUUAAUCUUUUUGGGGAACUGUCUCUUUAUGUCCUUUUCCUGUUUGUCUAUCUGAUUUCUGGUCCUUUGUCGUCAAUUUGUACGAGUUCUUCAUUUAUUAAGGAUGUUGGGGCUGGGCACGGUGGCUCAUGCCUGUAAUCCCAGCACUUUGGGAGGCCGA